UCAAUUUUUGAAUGGUGCGGGCCUUGUUGCCCGCACUACCGUAUUUAAUAUAAGUUUAGGUUACAUUGAUUGAUUGAUAUUCAGUAAGUUAUUCAAUGAUUGGUGUCGCAGUUCACGAAUUCGCUAACAACAUUUAUCCCUGUCCUAUUUCGGCGAUUUCUGCUAUUAAUCACGGUAGAUGUUACACGGUCAUUUGCCGCCAAUGAGACUUGCCCACAGGCAAAAUUUCAACGAAACAGUCAUUAUGAAGUAUGUAUUACUUACGUCCUUCCUUUGGCUUUACUUUAAAUUGUUAGUUUAAUUUAAAUUAAUAGUGUUAUGUCGAGAAUCAUAACAGCAAUUACCACACUGGUCCAUAGGAGUUCAUGUUUAGAAUGUGUUCUGAACACGUUUUUACGCCUUCACAAGUACCUGAACCACAAGUAAGUCAGUCGAUGUAGCGAUAAUUCAAAAUAUCAGUGAUAACAGAACUGGAAAAGUUGUCACGUCGGCUUUACACCAUCUUCGACAGAAGUAAGACACAGUUCCCAUUUCGAUUAGUGGAUGCUCUAUGUACCCAGCCACAUCUAAAAGAGAUAAUCACGAAGAUUCAAAAUGACUCGUCAAGAAUUCCCAGCGUAAAAGAGCCAUAGUUGAUAAUAAACUGUGCAAAAUGAGUAUUGGUACAGUGCGUAACUGAAGACGUUAUGUGAUAAGAAAGGGAUGCUAAAUAAAUGUGAACUAUACUGUAAUUGAA